AAUUUACUGUGACACUUUGUAUUGGUCAUUUGUAUCUGCACAGCAUCAGGAUCGGCAUCCCUUUUCUUUGGCCAAAAUGAACCACUCGUGGACACUGGAGAAAUCAGUGGUUUAUCCGAACAUGAGCUCCUUGAUAUUACAUAUGAUGCAUGCAACACAAAAAACACGGGUAAAAUCCCACAUCACCACAUUUUCCCCAAAAAUUUAAAAAGCUGAUUAGACUGACCACUAAUCCUUUGACAACCUCCAGGGAAGGUUCUUGCUUCAACAAUCAUGCAGUACUUGCAGGCAAUGACAGGCCAGAGCGCUGAGCAGGACAAACUGAUUGCCCUGAGGCGUAUGCUGGACCCUGACUGCCAGGACCAUGUGGUGAGCAGGGAGACCUUCCACUCCACCAUGAAGGAAUGGAUCGCCCAAUGCCACCAGGAAAGCGCCGACGUGGAAGACCCUCGUGCACCCUGGCCGGAGGCUUCCAAAGUGUCUAAUGGUGACUUUUUUAAUAUUUUCGAAAAUGUCUCCGAUAUACCUCUCUCUCAUAGGUUCUUUCACGGAAUUUUCUUUACUUUCAGGUUUGGAUUUCUCAAGUCCUCAAAGUGUAGCUCUCCCAGAGACGGUGCAGUGCUUCUGGUCAGUCAGCUCUCUCUUAGGUUUUUUGUAUAUAUAAACAGCUAAAUGUCGUGAUUAUAUUAUAAAUAUUUGCAUUGCUGUUCUCCACCAUGUGUUUAUUUGUCACCAGUGAUUCAAAGGAGCUGUUGGGUACAGUAACCGAGCUGAAGUGCGCCCACCACAAACUGACAGAGCAGAACGGCAGGCUUUUAAAGAUGGUGGCUCAGUGUGAGGAUGCCAAUCUCCAGCUGUCUGCUGAAAUCAUCGAGAUGCGUAGCAAGCUAGCCAGUGGCCAACGGGCCGUGGCGAGAGCCAGGUCUCUGUCAGCGGAGCUGGAGGAUGCACACCGAGAAGCUCAGGACAAAGCUAACCGCGCACAGACCAGCUGCACCAAACUGAGCAAUGAAGUUGAAUGCCUAAAAGUUCACGUCAGGAUACUUGAGGAUAAGAAUGACAAACUUGCCUUUGAAAAGAUAUGCUCUGAAGAUAGCAUCAAUAAACUAAGGAAAGUGAAUUCAGAAUUGAGGGUAGAGCUUGAAGAAACCCUUAUCAUGCUGACACUUCGAGACAGAGAAAUAUCUAUGAGGGACAGUCUAAUGGAUAAGAUGAAAACCUCCCAUGUGGAGAAUUGCAACAUUAUUGAGGGUCUACAGUCAGAGCUAUCAAGAUUGCAAGAACAUUCAAAGCAAGCUCUUUUAAGGUUUGACAGGCCCUUCAGCAGCCUGCACAGCCUGCACGGGCGCAGCGGCGAGUCAGCCAACCACCGCUCCCUGCACACCGAGAUCCAGGACAUGCAGCAGAAAGAUGGCCUUCACAGCAUCAUCCAUCGCAUCAAGACUGCUGAGCUAGCUCACUGUCUUCACACCAACUACGCUGAGCGGGUAAGGAACAACCACGCUCUUCAUGAUACAUACCGGCCACAUACUAUUUCACAU
rnacentral:lncRNA from 1 species